GCCUUCGUGGCUUAGUCGGGAUAUCACACGACUAUGUUGUGGUAGAAUUCGGGUUCGAGCCCCGGUGAUGACG